rnacentral:rRNA from 1 species
GGGCCCGCACAAGCGGAGGAACAUGUGGUUUAAUUCGAUGAUACGCGAGGAACCUUACCCGGGCUUGAAAUGCAGAAGACGGAUCGGGAAACCGAUUUUCCAGCAAUGGCUUCUGUGUAGGUGCUGCAUGGUUGUCGUCAGCUCGUGCCGUGAGGUGUCGGCUUAAGUGCCAUAACGAGCGCAACCCUUGCCAAUAGUUACUAUCAGGUAAUGCUGAGGACUCUAUUGGGACUGCCAUCGUAAGAUGCGAGGAAGGUGGGGAUGACGUCAAAUCAGCACGGCCCUUACGUCCGGGGCGACACACGUGUUACAAUGGGGAGUACAGAGGGUUGCUACCUGGUGACAGGAUGCUAAUCUCUUAAAUCUUCUCUCAGUUCGGAUCGAAGUCUGCAACUCGACUUCGUGAAGCUGGAUUCGCUAGUAAUCGCGCAUCAGCCAUGGCGCGGUGAAUACGUUCCCGGGCCUU